rnacentral:rRNA from 1 species
UACGUAGGGUGCAAGCGUUGUCCGGAAUUAUUGGGCGUAAAGAGCUCGUAGGCGGUCUGUCGCGUCGGCUGUGAAAACUCGGGGCUCAACUCCGAGCUUGCAGUCGAUACGGGCAGGCUAGAGUUCGGCAGGGGAGACUGGAAUUCCUGGUGUAGCGGUGAAAUGCGCAGAUAUCAGGAGGAACACCGGUGGCGAAGGCGGGUCUCUGGCCCGAUACUGACGCUGAGGCACGAAAGCGUGGGGAGCAAACAGG